rnacentral:rRNA from 1 species
CCUACGGGAGGCAGCAGUGGGGAAUAUUGCACAAUGGGGGGAACCCUGAUGCAGCAACGCCGCGUGGGUGAAGAAGUACUUCGGUAUGUAAAGCCCUGUCAGCAGGGAAGAAAAUGACGGUACCUGACCAAGAAGCCACGGCUAACUACGUGACAGCAGCCGCGGUCUUACGUAGGGGGCACGCGUUAUCCGGCAUUACUGGGGGUAAAGGUAGCGUAGGCGGGAAGGCAAGUCCGGAGUGAAAGCCCGUGGCUCAACCUCCGGACUGCUGUGGAAACUGAGUUGCUGGAGUGCAGGAGGGGUAAGCGGAAUUCCUGGUGUAGCGGUGAAAUGCGUAGAUAUAAGGAGGAACACCGGUGGCGAAGGCGGCUUACUGGACUGUAACUGACGUUGAGGCUCGAAGGCGUGGGGAGCAAACAGGAUUAGAUACCCCAGUAGUC